UGGGCGGGACGGGUGGAGUAAUGUCGUAGGGGAAACGUGCCGAUGGAGGGGGAUAACUACUGGAAACGGUAGCUAAUACCGCAUAACGUCGCGAGACCAAAGAGGGGGACCUUAGGGCCUCUUGCCAUCGGAUGUGCCCAGAUGGGAUUAGCUAGUAGGUGGGGUAACGGCUCACCUAGGCGACGAUCCCUAGCUGGUCUGAGAGGAUGACCAGCCACACUGGAACUGAGACACGGUCCAG
rnacentral:rRNA from 1 species